rnacentral:rRNA from 1 species
CCGGCACGGGUGAGUAACACGUAUGCAAUCCACCUGUAACAGGGGGAUAACCCGGAGAAAUCCGGACUAAUACCCAUAAUAUGGGCGCUCCGCAUGGAGAGCCCAUUAAAGAGAGCAAUUUUGGUUACAGACGAGCAUGCGCUCCAUUAGCCAGUUGGCGGGGUAACGGCCCACCAAAGCGACGAUGGAUAGGGGUUCUGAGAGGAAGGUCCCCCACAUUGGAACUGAGACACGGUCCAA